ensembl:lncRNA
GGCUUUUCUCAGCACUUGCAUCAAUCGUUGUACAGUCAGCUCCACCAUUCUACACACCAGGAAGUUGAACUAUGCUCUCAGCGUGAGGGGAGGAGUUGUUUUUUUUUCCCUUUUCCCUCCUCCAUUAAACUUGGCAGUUACUUGUAACUUGUUGCAGGUGGAAGGUGGAAGGAGUGGGAAGCACUUUGGUGCUUGGACUUUGUACUAACAAGUACAAAGGAAGAGUCUGGGAUUUCACAGGAGACGUUAACAGCUUGGCCUGCCAGUGAUUAUGCUUCGGACUAGGAGGACUGCAAGAUUGUUUGAGUGAUGGCCUCUGACAGAUGUCAUCAUAAUCUGCUCUUCACAAAGAUCAGACAAGUUGUUAAUUCUGAUAGCUGGAGGACCUUGUCAAGCAGCUUUUCUGGAAUGUGUCUGGGAAUUUUAUUUGAAGACUUUCUUCUGUGACUUAAGUCACUUUUCAACAUCAGAUUGGAUUGUAAUCCCCCCCCACAAUUCUGUUCCCUUGGGAAUAAAUCACUCUGGACUGGCCUGACUGUGUGACAGCUUUAGAUAGCAGUCAUUCAUUGCAACCUAGAUGAACCUACGCUGCCCUAGUCCCUUUCCUCGCUAGCUGUCCACCAUACGGAACAAUCUGAGGAACCCUCAAGACUGCUUUUUCGCCUUCAUCCCAGUUUUACAGGAAUAUUUUUGAAAUAUUUUUUCUUUUUAGUAACUUUUGAUAUUUGGAUUCUAUCACAUUUUCUAAAUCGCUGACAGACUCUCUAGAGUGUGGGGUCAGCGACUACACUUGAAUAUCUAACGCUGUGUGAACCCCUGGCACUUGGCACGUUUACCAUACAUCAGCAGUCAUGGAGUCUGUAGCAGCUAGAAUGGCCAUGGUGACAGACUCCCCGAACCCUUCAUUAAGGUCGAGGACUACUGUGACGACGGAUGGCGAUUCCUUCGUGAGCACUGUCAGCCUUCCCUGCAGCCACUUUCUCUCUGCCAACUUCAUCAAUGUUGUUGCAGCUCAUCUAGAUCAACUGGAGGCUCACAUCCUGGGUUACAGUCUAAUGUGGGCAUUGUAGAAACAGAGGGGAAGAUGAUGAGGGAAAGCUGCCUUAAUGACUGCAUAUUCUGCAUAUUUCAAACUUUCUACAUAAAUAGAUCUUAUCUCUCCGGAGCCCACUGACUCAAACAUGCUUAUGAAUGAUAUUUUCAGUCAUUUUGACUAAACCUAUUAAUGGAACCAGUAGUUUUAAAGAGACAUACUGUUUAAGGAGCAAACAUCUUUUGCAGAGUUGGUUUUGUUUCUUUGCCUCUGCAUCACCGUCAAUCGCUUGGAUCACUUUAUAAUUGCUGUUAUCAUGUUACAGUGAUUACAGAAAUUAUUCUAGUCAUACAUGCGUUACAACAAUCAUUGUGUUAAAUUGGCAACAUUCCCAAUGUACAGAAAGUCUGGAAGGCUUUCAUACCUGAUUAUGCUCUCAAGAAUUGACAGGUAAAAUAAAAGCAUGUUUUUUUUUCUGUAACUUGUGUAUUUUUCUGCUACAAACACGAGAAGAGAGUGC